UGUUCAGUUCUCAUAAUCUUGCAGAUUUUCUAUGUACUAGUUCUAUUCAUUACUGAGCAAGGAGUAUGAAAUCUCCAACUCUAACUGUAAUUUAUUUGUUUCUCCUUUCAGUUGUAUUAGCUUUUCUUCAUGUUCGAAGCUCUGUUGUUAGGCACACACACAUUUAAGAUUGUUCUGUCUUCUUGGUGAAAUGACCAUUGUAUCAUUAUAGAAUGCCCUUCUUUAUACCUGGGCUUGUGAGAUCCUAAACAAAGAACCUACUAAGUUCUGCCCAGAUUUCUCACUUACAGAACAGUAAGAUAACAGACUUGUAUGGUUUUCAGCCGCUAACUUUGUGGUAAUUUGUUAUGCAGCAGUAGAAAAUUAAUACGGAUGCCUUUCCACAUUAAAUCAGUGCUGGCCUAUGUGAUCAGUAC
rnacentral:lncRNA from 1 species